rnacentral:rRNA from 1 species
ACCUACCCGGUUACCAAACCCAGUCAAACUCCGAAUGGCUGCAAUCAUACCUGGGAGUCAGACUGCGACUAAUAAGGGCCGCAGUCAAAAGGGAAACAGCCCAGACCAUCAGCUAAGGUCCCCAAUGCCGUGCUAAGUGGCGAAGGAUGUGGCAUUUCAUAAACAACCAGGAUGUUGGCUCAGAAGCAGCCACCAUUUAAAGAGUGCGUAAUAGCUCACUGGUCGAGAGACGCUGCGCCGAAAAUGUCCGGGGCUCAAGCACGGAACCGAAGCUAUGGCAUGAUAGCAAUAUCAUGGGUAGGGGAGCGUUCUUAUAAGGAAGAAGCAUGACCGGAAGGACAUGUGGACGAAUAAGAAGUGAGAAUGCCGGUAUGAGUAUCGAAAAGAAAGGUGAGAAUCCUUUCCACCGAAAGCCCGAGGGUUCCUGAGCAACGAUCGUCGACUCAGGGUAAGUCGGGACCUAAGCCGAGGCGAGAAGCGUAGGCGAUGGACAACAGGUUGAAAUUCCUGUACCGGAUCAAGUCGAUCGAGCGAAGGAGCGACGCAGGAGGGCACAUGAUCGCGCGGCUGGAAGAGCGCGUCCAAGUGCGUAUGUUGCUGCAGAGGAAAACCCCUGCGGCUGAAAGCAGAGACAUGAUGGGGAGUUAAAGGAAACUUUGACGAACUCAUGGAUCCCACACUGCCAAGAAAAACUUCUAGCGAGACAAGAUCCGCCCGUACCGUAAACCGACACAGGUAGGCGGGGAGAGAAUCCUAAGGUGCGCGGGAAAACCCUCGUUAAGGAACUCGGCAAAUUGCAUCCGUAACCUAGGGAGAAGGAUGGCCCCCGGUCAGUGAAGAGCAGAAACGCUCAGAGCUAAAAGGGGCGGCAGAAAAGAGGCCCAAGCAACUGUUUACCAAAAACACAGGUGCCUGCGAAAGCGAAAGCUGAAGUAUAGGUGCUGACGCCUGCCCGGUGCCGGAAGGUUAAGGAGAGAAGUUAGCGAAAGCGAAGCAUCGAACUGAAGCCCCGGUGAACGGCGGCCGUAACUAUAACGGUCCUAAGGUAGCGAAAUUCCUUGUCGGGUAAGUUCCGACCCGCAUGAAAGGCGUAAUGAUUUGGGCACUGUCUCAACGAGGGGCCCGGUGAAAUUGAAAUACCUGUGAAGAUGCAGGUUACCCGCGACUGGACAGAAAGACCCCAUGGAGCUUCACUGCAGCUUGAGAUUGAAUCCCGGUGACAGAUGCACAGGAUAGGUGGGAGGCGCCGAAGCAUUGCCCUAGGGCGGUGCGGAGCCGAUGUUGGGAUACCACCCUUCUGUUGCUGAGAUUCUAACGCGAGGAGUAACGACCCUGCGGACCCUCUCAGGCAGGCGGUUUGACUGGGGCGGUCGCCUCCGAAAGAGUAACGGAGGCG